UAAAAGGGCCUUUGCCAUCACUGGCACGUGAGACCUAAGGGGCUCGCGCGGAAUCGCCAUCCAGAGAUUUCGGAGGCAUAAUCUUUGGACUCCCGCGGCAGUUGGUAGCCUCUAGCACCGACGCCCAU